GACGAACGCUGGCGGCGUGCCUAAUACAUGCAAGUAGAACGCAGUUGCGAACGGGUGAGUAACGCGUAGGUAACUGCCUCAUAGCGGGGGAUAACUAUUGGAAACGAUAGCUAAUACCGCAUUCUGUGAGCUGGACCUGCGUUGUAUUAGCUAGUUGGUGAGGUAAAGGCUCACCAAGGCGACGAUACAUAGCCGACCUGAGAGGGUGAUCGGCCCAACUGGGACUGGGACACGGCCCAGAUGCAUACGGGUGGCAGACGUAGGGAAUCUUCGUAAAAGGACGGAAGUCUGAUCGAGCAACGUCGCGGGAGUGAAGAAGGUUUUCGGAUUGGAAAGCUCUGUUGUUAGAGAAGCGGUAACUAAACAGAAAGGGACGGCUAACUACGUGCCAGCAGCCGCGGUAAUAC
rnacentral:rRNA from 1 species